rnacentral:rRNA from 1 species
AUGAACGCUGGCGGCGUGCUUAACCCAUGCAAGUCGCACGAUGAAGCCCAGCUUGCUGGGUGGAUUAGUGGCGAACGGGUGAGUAACACGUGAGUAACCUGCCCUUAACUCUGGGAUAAGCCUGGGAAACUGGGUCUAAUACCGGAUAGGAGCGUCCACCGCAUGGUGGGUGUUGGAAAGAUUUAUCGGUUUUGGAUGGACUCGCGGCCUAUCAGCUUGUUGGUGAGGUAAUGGCUCACCAAGGCGACGACGGGUAGCCGGCCUGAGAGGGUGACCGGCCACACUGGGACUGAGACACGGCCCAGACUCCUACGGGAGGCAGCAGUGGGGAAUAUUGCACAAUGGGCGCAAGCCUGAUGCAGCGACGCCGCGUGAGGGAUGACGGCCUUCGGGUUGUAAACCUCUUUCAGUAGGGAAGAAGCGAAAGUGACGGUACCUGCAGAAGAAGCACCGGCUAACUACGG